rnacentral:tRNA from 1 species
CAACUUAUAGCUUAAUUAAAGCAUCUUGCUUACACCGAGAAAAUACCUGUUAAACUCAGGUUAAAUUGA